rnacentral:rRNA from 1 species
AUUGAACGCUGGCGGCAUGCCUUACACAUGCAAGUCGAACGGCAGCAUGAUCUAGCUUGCUAGAUUGAUGGCGAGUGGCGAACGGGUGAGUAAUACAUCGGAACGUGCCCUGUAGUGGGGGAUAACUAGUCGAAAGAUUAGUUAAUACCGCAUACGACCUGAGGGUGAAAGUGGGGGACCGCAAGGCCUCAUGCUAUAGGAGCGGCCGAUGUCUGAUUAGCUAGUUGGUGAGGUAAAGGCUCACCAAGGCGACGAUCAGUAGCUGGUCUGAGAGGACGAUCAGCCACACUGGGACUGAGACACGGCCCAGACUCCUACGGGAGGCAGCAGUGGGGAAUUUUGGACAAUGGGGGCAGCCCUGAUCCAGCAAUGCCGCGUGUGUGAAGAAGGCCUUCGGGUUGUAAAGCACUUUUGUCCGGAAAGAAAUCGCACUUACUAAUAUUAGGUGUGGAUGACGGUACCGGAAGAAUAAGGACCGGCUAACUACGUGCCAGCCGCCGCAGUAACAC